CGGGUAGCCGGACUGAGAGGUUGGCCGGUCACACUGGGACUGAGACACUGCCCAGACUCCUACGGGAGGCUGCAGUCGAGAAUCCUCCGCAAUGGGCGAAAGCCUGACGGAGCGACGCCGCGUGCAGGAAGAAGGCCCUCGGGUUGUAAACUGCUGUCACACGUUAAGAAUUGUUGCGGUCUACCGUAACUUGACAAAAGCGUGAGAGGAAGUCACGGCUAACUUCGUGCCAGCAGCCGCGGUAAAACGAAGGUGGCAAGCGUUGUUCGGAAUUACUGGGCGUAAAGAGCACGUAGGUGGUUUCGUGUGUCGAUGGUGAAAUCCUACAGCUCAACUGUAGAACUGCCGUCGAAACUACGAGGCUAGAGGACAGGAGGGGAGAGUGGAAUUCCUAGUGUAGCGGUGAAAUGCGUAGAUAUUAGGAGGAACGCCGGUGGCGAAAGCGACUCUCUGGACUGUUUCUGACACUGAGGUGCGAAAGCUAGGGGAGCAAACAGGAUUAGAUACCCUGGUAGUCCUAGCUGUAAACGAUGGGCACUAGGCAGGGGAGGUUCCGAUGCCAUCCUUGCCGUAGCUAAUGCGUUAAGUGCCCCGCCCGGGGAGUAUGGUCGCAAGGCUAAAACUCAAAGGAAUUGACGGGGGCUCACACAAGCGGUGGAGCAUGUGGUUUAAUUCGACGCGCAGAACCUUACCCGGGUUUGAAAUGCAGGGAUUAUCCUCCUGAAAGGGAGGGGAUUGCCUUCGGGUGUAACCUGUAUAGGUGUUGCAUGGCUGUCGUCAGCUCGUGUCGUGAGAUGUCGGGUUAAGUCCCUUAACGAGCGAAACCCUUGUCUUUAGUUGCCAGCGGGUCAUGCCGGGGACUCUAAAGAGACUGCCGUUGUUAAAACGGAGGAAGGUGGGGACGACGUCAAGUCAUCAUGGCCUUUAUGUCCGGGGCUACACACGUGCCACAAUGGCCGGUAUAAAGCGAAGCAAAUCCGUAAGGUGGAGCAAAUCGAUAAAAGCCGGUCUCAGUUCGGAUUGGGGGCUGAAACUCGCCCCCAUGAAGUCGGAAUCGCUAGUAAUCGCGGAUCAGCUACGCCGCGGUGAAUAUGUUCCUGAGCCUUGUACACACCGCCCGUCAAGCCACGAAAGCUGGUAGUACCCUAAGUCGUGAUCCCAACCUUCGGGAGGGUAGCGCCCACGGUAAAACCAGUG
rnacentral:rRNA from 1 species